rnacentral:rRNA from 1 species
UACGGAGGAUGCGAGCGUUAUCCGGAUUUAUUGGGUUUAAAGGGUGCGUAGGCGGCUUGUUAAGCGUGAGGUGAAAUGCCGGGGCUCAACCUCGGAACUGCCUCGCGAACUGGCUGGCUUGAAUGCUCCUGCCGUGGGAGGAAUGUGUGGUGUAGCGGUGAAAUGCAUAGAGAUCACACAGAACACCGAUUGCGAAGGCAUCUCACGAAGGGGUGAUUGACGCUGAGGCACGAAAGCGUGGGGAU